CUUGGCUCAUAAGUCUAGGCUCAAAUGACCUAGACAGGCCAUUUCGGCCAUCCUUAGCCUCAAGGCAGAAUCAGCUAUGAGUAAACCUUUCUCUCUAUCAUAUUUCCUUGUAAAAUAUUUUUUCUUUCAAAAAGUCUGCUUACAAGACUUCCCCUUAAACUUAAUGUUAGGAAAGUUUUCCUGAUGUCUAGUCUAGCCCCUUUAUUUUUUAUUAUUUUUUUUUUUUCCAGCAAACUUUUACGUGUUUGAAAAUAGUGACCCUUGAUCUCCUUCCUUAUGACAAAAUGGACCAAAUUCUUUCCAUCUUUUCUGCUGGAUUUUAUUUUGUAGACCUCUGGGAAUUUUUAUUUUCCUAUGGAGUCUUUCCUGUUAGCCCAAUCUUGCCUUGAGCUAUGAAGGCCAGUGAUUAACAUGACAGCAUUUUGGGGCUUUCUUUAACAUAAGCUAAACAGAAUAUGAGGUUUACCUCGUAUGCUUUAUAUAUAAUCCAGCUAUUCAUAGGUAUAUAUAAUCCAGAUAUUCAUAGGUUUCAGUACGAUGUGUUUUCCAUUUUUUUUCUCUUUAAAUUAUUAUUUGUUUAUUUAUUUUUAAAUUGAUUAGAUGGAAUUGUUCCUUUAUAGGAGCACUAACCAAAAAUGUAGGUGGUUAUCUCAGAUACAGAAGAAUCUAUAGAAUAUUAGAAAAAGCGUAUUUUAAUGUUUGUCCUUCAUUCCCUUCCCCUGUCUCCCAGGUGUUGCAAAGUCUCCGACUAAAAAAAGACUUGAUAGGACACAAAAAUACAGGCUUUUGUGGAUAAUACCUCAGAACUGUCUUGUACAUGUCAAAUGGAUGAUGUAAACCAUGGAGGCUGUAAGUGUCCUAAAUGUCUCAGCACUGCAAUUCCACAACUGGGAGAGUUGGGAAGAGUGGAUCCUUGCUCCUGUGGGGUACAAACAACGCUCAUGGUUUGGUCCUUGCCUACUAUGCUGGAUUCACAUGCUCAGAAGCAAAGGUGAAUUCUCCCUAAUUCAGAGUGGGAAUCUAGGUUUUUACUGCUAUACAAGAGUACUACACCUCUGUUUUAUGGCAUUACAAAGGCUUUGGGCAUUUGUUGUAGCUUUGUUUCAGAUGAUCUCUGUCAGAAGCACUUAACAGUUAAGUCUCAGGGGGAAUGAAAUGUUUUAAUUUCAGUGAAGUUACUGGAUUUACUUACAAGGGAGAGAUGUAAUGGCCUGUGAUACAAAAGAGGUGACCUUCAGCUCUGACUUUACAUUCUGUUACAAAUUCCUACGCAUAUAUAUUGCUGAGGGAAGGUUUUGGCACAAUAUGCAUUUAAUUUAAAAAUGGUGUUUAUUCCAAUUGUGCAGAGAUGUUUUAGCAUAUAUGAAGAGUUAAAUCCAGAGAAAGACACUUUAACCAAAGAUCAAGAUGAAAAGCCAAGUUACAUUAUAAAGAUACUUAAGCAAAUGUACCAUAUUUAAUCUACUCUCAUCUUAAAGCAACUUCUCAUUUGCACUUUCACUUACAUUUCUAAUGCAGUGGUAUUUAUUACCUUUUGCCUACCUUACCAAAUGAGCAACAAUCUCUAGAGAUAUCUCCUCUCUGAUUAGAAAACACUUGCUGCAAAAUAAUAGAUUUAUGAAAUAUACAUGAAGAAACUUUUAUUAAAAUUACAUUAAUAGCCAAAUUCUGCACACAAUUACACUUGGCCAUUGCAAAAUCAAUGAAUUGCACUGGGAUAAUAGAGAGCAGAAUUUGCCCUGACCGAAUAAUUUUAGCUGAUUAAAAACAAUGAAAUGAGAUAUUAAUAUUGACACUCCCUGUUUGAAAUAUCAUUGUUCUGUGGACCCGGAAUUCAUGAUUUAGGACUCAGUGUGGAGGAACAAAGCCACUCUGCCAGCCAGCCCUGCCAGCAAGACAAUAUAUACUCUGACAAAUGGUCUCAUAUAUAACUCCACUUCUGGGAGGUAAAAGGAGGAGAGUCUUAUUCUCUCCUGCUUUGCACUAGGUCAGAAUUAAUAUUCUCCUACAGCAGCUGAUGAUACAUACCUGAGUAAGCUUUACACUGGCUAUCUCAGGUGUUGAGAACAGAGCCAUGGCAGGAUGGAGUUCAAGAGAGGCUAAGCACCCAAAUAUUUACUCAGUUCAUCUUGUCACUAGCUCACUUCGGUACCUCCUUUAGGUUAGCUACAAUAUGACACUGGCUGAGGUCCAACCAGCAGGUUUAUUACCUCUAAAUGCAGAACUGGGUUUAUUAACUUGGGUAGAGAACUGUGCUAUUGUAAUAUAUAUGAUACUGUAUAGAUAGGGAAGUAAAAUGGCUUUAAUUCUUCUGGUCUGCAAGAUAGCUCAUGGCUCUGAAUUGUGUUUUGUAUUCUGAGGGAAUGAUAGUCCCCGUGUGAGAGAACGUCUGGCCUAGAGGAGGAAAAAAAAAAGAGCACCUACACCUGGGGCUAAUGACAAUGCAGCAGAGGCUACUAAAGGAGAUGGAGCUGGGCAACCUCCCUGUGCUACUCUGUGGAGUGAUUUUGGGGUUGCACCCUCUGUUCCCCAUUUACUCAUUUACUUUGAACCAGAGGAUUAUGGUACUUGGAGGUUUCUGAACUGAUUGCUUAAGUCUUAAUAGCUGUGAAACCCCAACACAUUUAGAGUUGCCCAAGAUAUCACUGCUUUGGAUGGACCUCAUCUGGCUGUGCUUGUGCCUGGCUAGAACCACAGCCUCUCCGUAUCCUCCUGUAUUGGUGGUGGUGGCUAGCAACGGCACAGAAACUGCUGUAAUAAAAAGGAGAUGUAAAGAUGACA
rnacentral:lncRNA from 1 species